GUAUCCUUGACUAAUAAUACGUCAUCGAACACAAAACAUACCAUCUUUCUGAAGAGGUUUACUGGUAUCAUUUAUAUUGGUGGUUCAUUGUAACACAAAACAUAACAUGAUUAUGUUGAGGUAUUCUGGUAUCCUUGACUAAUAGUGCUUCAUUGUAGCACAAAACAUACCAUUGUUAUGUUGAGGUAUUCUGGUAUCCUUGACUAAUAGUGCUUCAUUGUAGCACAAAACAUACCAUUGUUAUGUUGAGGUAUUCUGGUAUCCUUGACUAAUAGUGCUUCAUUGUAGCACAAAACAUACCAUUGUUAUGUUGAGGUAUUCUGGUAUCCUUGACUAAUAGUGCUUCAUUGUAGCACAAAACAUACCAUUGUUAUGUUGAGGUAUUCUGGUAUCCUUGACUAAUAGUGCUUCAUUGUAGCACAAAACAUACCAUUGUUAUGUUGAGGUAUUCUGGUAUCCUUGACUAAUAGUGCUUCAUUGUAGCACAAAACAUACCAUUGUUAUGUUGAGGUAUUCUGGUAUCCUUGACUAAUAGUGCUUCAUUGUAGCACAAAACAUACCAUUGUUAUGUUGAGGUAUUCUGGUAUCCUUGGCUAAUAGUGCUUCAUUGUAGCACAAAACAUACCAUUGUUAUGUUGAGGUAUUCUGGUAUCCUUGACUAAUAGUGCUUCAUUGUAGCACAAAACAUACCAUUGUUAUGAAGAGGUUUAAUUGUUUCUCUUAUGGUUUUGGCCCGUUUUCUAUUUCUUGCAUGAAUAGAUAUUUCUCGUAUCACACUUCAUUACAUUAUGAAGCGUACAAAAAGUUUUAAAAUGUCUGAUGUUAAAGGUCGACGCCGGAACAGGACAUGGAACGUCUAAUUGGUAUGUAUUUUAAAUAUCAAGCAAUAUCAAUUUCUCACGGAUAUCCUUGACUAACGUGCUUCAUUGUAACACUAACCAUACCAUCAUUAUGUGAGGUAUACCGGUAUCCCUGAUUAUAGUGCUUCAUCGAACACAAAACAUACCAUCGUUAUGUUGAGGUAUACUGGUAUCUCUAAAUAAAGUGCUUUAUUGUAGCGCAUAACAUACCAUUAUUAUGUAGAGGUAUACUGGUAUCGUUGAAUAUAGUGCUGCAUUGUAACACUA